rnacentral:rRNA from 1 species
GAUGAACGCUGGCGGCGUGCUUAACACAUGCAAGUCGAACGGAAAGGCCCAAGCUUGCUUGGGUACUCGAGUGGCGAACGGGUGAGUAACACGUGGGUGAUCUGCCCUGCACUUCGGGAUAAGCCUGGGAAACUGGGUCUAAUACCGGAUAGGACGAUGGUUUGGAUGCCAUUGUGGAAAGUUUUUUCGGUGUGGGAUGAGCUCGCGGCCUAUCAGCUUGUUGGUGGGGUAAUGGCCUACCAAGGCGUCGACGGGUAGCCGGCCUGAGAGGGUGUACGGCCACAUUGGGCCUGGGAUACGGCCCAGACUCCUACGGGAGGCAGCAGUGGGGAAUAUUGCACAAUGGGCGAAAGCCUGAUGCAGCGACGCCGCGUGGGGGAUGACGGCCUUCGGGUUGUAAACUCCUUUCGCUAGGGACGAAGCGUUUUUGUGACGGUACCUGGAGAAGAAGCACCGGCUAACUACGUG